GAGAGAGAGAGAGAGAGAGAAAUUAUGGUUUCCUCAAUUUGGUAUUUGGUCUAGACCUCAUUUUUAGUGUUAUCAUACAGUGACUUGUAUGUCAUGAUAGAUUUCCGGUGAAUUCUUGCUGGAAUCUCUGUAGCAUCAGCUAAGAGUGCCCUAAUUGCAACAAAAUUAGAGUUCAGUAACCAUAUUAAAGUUGCAUAACCAAAAUUGAAAAUUAGUGCAGUGUUCAAUAACCAUUACAACAAUUUGCCCUCAAUUCCACUUUAACCCAAAACAAAACGUAGAUUAUGACAAACAAUAUUCAGAAUAACGCAUAGCUAAUAGGUAUGUAAGAAGGAUGUUACCAAUACUAGACUCAGAUGAAAACAUCAAUUUCAUCAAUUACUAGUUCUACUGUGUGCAAACUCAAGUUCUCUGAACAUUUAACUUCUUAUGAGUCCCAAAAGCCAAGCAAAUUACAUGGAUGAGUAGCAUUACAAGAAGUGAGAGAACAAAAAAAAAAAAUAUAGAUAAACUUAUAAGUAAAUGAAAUUUUAUCCAAAAUGGUUGGUCACCAGCUGUGAGGUGCAGAUUAGCAAAAGGGUUCAGAAAAUAAGUGCUUGUGGGUGAAGAUGACUCUUAUGAUGAGCAAAUAAGGAAAAAGGAUUAAUGUAGGUCAUCUUAUGUGGAUUAAAUGUGAAAGAGCUUGAACUGAAUCAUAUGGUUAUAACACUUUCAGAGGGGAAACACAGUAGAAUUAGAAAAUUUCAUAAUUUCUUCAUCUAAGUGGAAAAAAAAAUCUGCUGAAAAUUCUCUUGAAGGUUUAGCAUAAUCUCAAAUCAUGAAAUAAUAAGCAAAAAAGGGUAUAGAGUGCCCCAUUUAUUGAAAUGCCAAGCAUUUAGAGAUAAGCCAUGGAAUGAUGCUAAUGCCAAAAAUAAAUUACUGUUUCAAUCAACACUCAGAUAAGGCUUUUAUUCACAUCCAUGAACCUUAUAAAGAUUAAUGUAUCUAAUCAAUCAAAGAAAACCUAUGUUUUAUCAAAAUUCAAAUCUCCCAAUUUCAAAUCCCCCUUCCAAAUGCAAUGUUAGUGAAGUUAAAGGGACUAUUUAACAAAUUUCCUGAAAGGCUACCCUAUAUGGCAUAGAACAUUGCACCACAAAGAAGUAUGUUAACAAAACAAGCAUCGCUAAACUUGGCAUUUCUUAAGAAGUGUUGCAAACAAGAAAAACACAAUCAAAUAAAUACAUUUCAAAAAAUUGAAGAUAACACCAAGAAAGAGUUAAUGUCAUCGUAGCAUUUAAUAGGGUGAAAAUCUUUGGAUGUAAAUUCAAACAAACAAUUUUAUGCUAAUGCUAUAUACCAGAAAUGACAUGAUUUAUAUUGAAGACAUUUUGAAAAUCUUAAAGAGAAUAUGGCUUCAAAUGGACUUGAAUAGAGGGAAAGUAUACAUGCAGCUAAGAUGAGAUAGUCUAAAAUAAACACUUUGUUAAGAGAUUUCACAUUCCACAAUUGGGUAGCUCAAAGCAUCCAAUAACAUUUCUCCAGAUUCUCAACAUAUGCCUGAAAUAUUCAGAAACCAUUACACUGAAGACAGCCUGGAAACUUCCAGAAUAUGUCUUUAUUGCUUAUUUGUGAACUAAAACCAUAUUGUACACAAGAUAUAACAUAAUUAAUUACCUAAGUAAAGAUAGGGCUCUCCACAAGUUAAGCAGAUAAGAUCUCACCUCUUGCCUCCAAGUAGUAAAGUUCAGCACAAACUUCCAAUAAUCAUUAGUUAUAUUUCUAGAAUAUUUUGCUUCUCAAACACAUUGAUACAUGAGAAUAACACUGCACAGCAGAAAUUAAGGCGUAAUAAUUUUCAACAUGGUAUAAAUGGCUAUUGAUUUUCCUUUUGGUGGCAAUACAUAAAACAUCUCAUAGUAACAUCAUGCUACAAUAACUUAGCAGAACCAAAAUCAUAGAAGCCGUUUGUACCUCAAAUAGUAGAACACCCAGACU
rnacentral:misc_RNA from 1 species